rnacentral:rRNA from 1 species
AGUUGGAUAUCUGCCAAGGAGUUUCGGUCCUCCCCAGUGGAGAAUACGCGGAACAUUUCUUGGCACUUGUUCAGGGAAGGUGUUUGCACUUUGUUGUGCGUCACGUGAUCUGAAUUUUUACUUUGAGGAAAUGAGAGUGUUUCAUGCAGGCUUUUGCCGUGAAUAUGAUAGCAUGGAAUAAUAGCACAGGACCCCUUUCCAAAGCUGUUGGUUUUUGGAACGAGGUAAUCAUAAUAAGGACAGUUGGGGGUAUUCGUAUUUAACUGUCAGAGGUGAAAUUCUUGGAUUUUUUAAAGACGAACUAUUGCGAAGGCAUCUGCCCAGGAUGUUUUUGUUGAUCAAGAACGAAAGUUAGGGGAUCGAAGACGAUUAGAUACCGUCCUAGUCUUAACCUUAAACUAUGCCGACUGGAGAUUGGAGUCGUCAGUCCUUGACGUCUUCAGCAUCCUGAGAGAAAUCUAAGUCUUUGGGUUCCGGGGGGAGUAUGGUCGCAAGGCUGAAACUUAAAGGAAUUGACGGAAGGGCACCACCAGGAGUGGAGCCUGCGGCUUAAUUUGACCCAACACGGGAAAACUUACCAGGUCCAGACAUAGAUAGGAUUGACAGACUGAUAGCUCUUUCUUAAUUCUAUGGGUGGUGGUGCAUGGCCGUUCUUAGUUGGUGGAGUGAUUUGUCUGGUUAAUUCCGUUAACGAACGAGACCUUAACCUGCUAAAUAGUUUCCAAAACUUCGGUUUUCGGCUUACUUCUUAGAGGGACUUCGUGUGUUUAACAUGAGGAAGUUUGAGGCAAUAACAGGUCUGUGAUGCCCUUAGAUGUCCUGGGCUGCACGCGCGCUACACUGAUGUGUCCAGUAAGCACCUAACCUCAUCCGAAGGGAUCGGGUAACCUUUGCAACGCACAUCGUGAUGGGGAUAGAUUAUUGCAAUUAUUAGUCUUGAACG